UCUCCUCCCUCUCACCUCUGCCCCUCUCUCCACUCUUGCUCUCUUCUCUCUGUCUCUCUGUUUCUCAAAUAAAUAAAAUCUUAAAGAACAUUAAGGCAAAACUAAUAAAAUCUAAAGUAUAGAGUUUAGUUAAAAGUAAUGUGUCAGUGUUGUUUCCUUAGUUAAAACAAUUGUACUAAGUAAUAAUAGAUGUUAAUAAUAGGAGAAGAGGGAGAAGAGUGUAUGGGAACUGUGUUCUCCCUACUCUAAAAUAAAGUUUAUUUGGGAAAAACACCUUGUCCUGGUGGGUACAUGGAUUGGCAUUGGUACUUACAGGCUUAUUUUUCCUGUCAGUUUAUGUAACCCCAUAGUAAUGGGUUAUUUGUGAGUGUUGACACGUAUGCUGGUUGGCAUUCAUGUCCUGACUCUGACCAUAAAACAAUAAAAAAAAUCUAUGCUGAACAACGACAACAAAGAAAAAUAGUUUUCCAGCUGUUACAUCUAAUAUUGAUGACAGUACUGUGGAAAUGGCAUUCUCAUACACUGCAGUGAAGUUAUAAGUAAAUAUUACCCUGUGAAAAGCAGUUUAAUGAUGCAUACCCGAGAUCUUUCAAUAUACUUUGCCUUUUUUAAAUUCAGUAAUAUCAUUUCAAGAAUUCCAGUAUAAGCAAGUCAUCUAAUAGAUGGAUGCUUAAAUAGCAUUUUAUAAUAUACAUUGGUAAUGUGAAAAUGUUCUACAUAAUGUAACUUGAAAAAAUAUCCCAAAUAUUUGAAUAGAAUCAAUAUAACAGUAAGAAGUAUAGUAACAUGUAUAGAAAUACUAUUAAAUCUUACAAAACUUUAAGGAAUGCAUUAGAAUGUUUA